AAGCUAGCGGCAGGACUAACACAUGCAAGUCGAGGGGUAGAGGAAGCUUGCUUCCUUGAGACCGGCGCACGGGUGCGUAACGCGUAUGCAAUCUGCCUUGUACUGAGGGAUAGCCCAGAGAAAUUUGGAUUAAUACCUCAUAGCAUUAUGAAAUCGCAUGGUUUUAUGAUUAAAGUUCCAACGGUACAAGAUGAGCAUGCGUCCCAUUAGUUAGUUGGUAAGGUAACGGCUUACCAAGACGAUGAUGGGUAGGGGUCCUGAGAGGGAGAUCCCCCACACUGGUACUGAGACACGGACCAGACUCCUACGGGAGGCAGCAGUGAGGAAUAUUGGUCAAUGGACGCAAGUCUGAACCAGCCAUGCCGCGUGCAGGAUGAAGCAUCUAUGGUGUGUAAACUGCUUUUGUACGGGAAGAAACACUCCUACGUGUAGGAGCUUGACGGUACCGUAAGAAUAAGGAUCGGCUAACUCCGUGCCAGCAGCCGCGGUAAUACGGAGGAUCCAAGCGUUAUCCGGAAUCAUUGGGUUUAAAGGGUCCGUAGGCGGCUUUAUAAGUCAGUGGUGAAAGCCCAUCGCUUAACGAUGGAACGGCCAUUGAUACUGUAGAGCUUGAAUUACUUGGAAGUAACUAGAAUAUGUAGUGUAGCGGUGAAAUGCUUAGAUAUUACAUGGAAUACCAAUUGCGAAGGCAGGUUACUACAAGUGGAUUGACGCUGAUGGACGAAAGCGUGGGGAGCGAACAGGAUUAGAUACCCCUGGUAGUCCACGCCGUAAACGAUGGAUACUAGCUGUUCGGAGCAAUCUGAGUGGCUAAGCGAAAGUGAUAAGUAUCCCACCUGGGGAGUACGCACGCAAGUGUGAAACUCAAAUGAAUUGACGGAAGGGCGAAUUCUGCA
rnacentral:rRNA from 1 species